GUUGUGCUGUUUUUGUUAUAAGUCAUGUCACGAUAAGGGACUACCAAAUACUGUGAUUCCAGUAAACGGGAUGUAUCAACGAAACAAUUCAAAGUGAAUCGGUUAAUUUGGACUGAUAGCAUUAGAGUUUUAUCAAAGUACGUAAGGUGCAAGCAUAAAGGCAAAGUUAAAAAUAUUUAAUAGAUACUGUGACUAACUUAAUACGGCGAAUAUGAGUAAUUGGCAGUACAUCGGAAGUAAAGCACACAUCUUACGAAAUACUCCGUCAAAUCUCCUAGACACAUUUUGGAGUUCAGAGAAACUUCAGAGCGUAAGUAGAAGUGGAACGAAACACACCGAAGUCGGCGACUUUAAUCCUUUCAAGUUGGUUCUCCUGCAACCCUCUGCCCCUUUAACUAAGUGAAAUAUCUUGUUGUCCGAAAAGACAUAA
rnacentral:lncRNA from 1 species